rnacentral:rRNA from 1 species
AACGAACGCUGGCGGCAUGCCUAACACAUGCAAGUCGAACGAGGCCUUCGGGUCUAGUGGCGCACGGGUGCGUAACGCGUGGGAACCUGCCCUUAGGUUCGGAAUAACUCCCCGAAAGGGGUGCUAAUACCGGAUAAUGUCUUCGGACCAAAGAUUUAUCGCCUUUGGAUGGGCCCGCGUUGGAUUAGCUAGUUGGUAGGGUAAAAGCCUACCAAGGCGACGAUCCAUAGCUGGUCUGAGAGGAUGAUCAGCCACACUGGGACUGAGACACGGCCCAGACUCCUACGGGAGGCAGCAGUGGGGAAGAUUGGACAAUGGGCGAAAGCCUGAUCCAGCAAUGCCGCGUGAGUGAUGAAGGCCUUAGGGUUGUAAAGCUCUUUUACCCGGGAUGAUAAUGACAGUACCGGGAGAAUAAGCUCCGGCUAACUCCGUG